GUUACUUUAGUGUAAUGGUACCACGAUUGACUGCAUACCAGUAGAUGUAUGGUUCAAAUCCUACGGAUAGCU
rnacentral:tRNA from 1 species